UGUGGUCAAACGUUUUUUGUUUCACAGCUCCAUCCAUAAUGCCUCACUAGAUGAGUUCCCCAGUCUGUCCUGACUGAGCAUUACCGUGACAUUUUCCCUGACUUCACCCCUCCUCCUUUAAUCCCUUCCACUCUGUAGCACCUAAAACAAUGGAGCCCCAGAAUAUUGAGCUGCCAGUGCAGCCUCCUCUGCCCCCACCACAAACAAGUCACACUAAUGGCUGCAAUAUCAUAAUACAGUACCAAGUGUUGAUCUAUGCUGACUUCAUCUGCCUUUCCUACGAAACUUCUUGCAUUGAAAUGUACGCAGCUCAUGACAUUAAUCAAACCGUACUCAACCUUUUGAUACCUGACCUCGACUGAGGAAUAACAACAUGUCUCCACAACUUCUCCACUAAUUGUCUUGGCACUCUGGUUCCCAUCCCCCUGCAACUCUAGUUUAAACCCCAUCGUGCAGCACUGACAAACCUUCGCCCUAGGAUAUUAGGUGGAAACGUCUUUUCUGUACAGGUCCCAGCUUCCCUGGAAGAUAGCCCAAUGAUCCACAAAUCUUAUGUCCUUUCUCCCGACCUACACCAACUCCUUAGCCACGGGUUAAAACUGUAAAACCUUCCGAUUUCUAGCCUCACGGGCACGUGGCACGGAUAUUAGUUCUGAGGUCCCACCGUUUAAAUUAGCUCCCUGAACUCUCGUAGAACUUCGUCACUCUUGAAUUGACUUUUUUUUACACCCUUCACACACGAGAAGUAAAAUCUUUACGUUACGCCUCCUCCUGCUACGGACAAUCACUUCGGCAAUCUGUUUGUCACCCUAAACUUCUGCAGUCUUUUGUGUCACCAAUUUAAAUUCUUCAUUUAUUCUUUCUGAAGGUCUUAAUUUUCAAAACGUCCUUUUAUUUCUGCGUAUGAUUGUUGGGUAGCCUGUGCAACAGACCUGCAGCAUUUUCUUGCCAUUUCAUAUUUAACCAAAAAAAAACACGCUCUAUUAAACACUCAUCUUACUGGAAUGGUAUCUACAUUUACAUUACGUUACAGGUGCAGUAAACACAUUUGCAGGUAUCGCCUGGGUUUACUUUAGUUGGACUGUGUCAGGUGUCCACCGGGUUCACGUGGUUCCGCAGUCCUUCCCGGGAUCCCUAGCGAGCGGUUCCCGGAAGCCGCUGACUUCUCAUGUGCUGCCUUCCCAGCUGGGUCUCUCUGCAGUCGGUAGGCGCUGUUAGCAAGCAAAGUAGGGUACAAUCUUGUACUACUAUCUGUGCGAUGAAAUAAAUCUUUGUCGCGGUUAGUGUUACUAUUUAUGCUUUCUUGGUGAGGAUAAAGAAGAUAACGGAUUUGUGUAAAUGAAUGUCCUCUGCUUAAUCAGACAAAGGUUUUGUUUUCUCUCUCUUUCUUUAGACUAUAUUUCAGAUGCAGCCCACCGUUUCUCCUUUGAAAGGGUAAAAUGUCUGUAAAAUUUGAACCUAGGGAGCUCCUCCAGAUCGUGGAUGACUUGCUUUCACUCCAGUUUUGAGCUGGCUGAGUGGGCCAAAUGUGAAACACAAAGAUGAGUGGUGGAGAGUAUAUUGACUGGUUGCAUCAUGGCCUGGUAUGGAAACACCAACGGCCUUAAAUGGCAAAACCUACAAAAAGCAGUGGAUAUGGCUCAGCCACCACCAUUGAGGACAUCGACAUGGAACGCUGUCCCAGGCACUCACAGUCGAACAAAGAAAUACAAUAGAAUCAAUGAAAAUCUACACACGAAUGAAGACUGAAAAAUAACCGAAGUGCAGAAGAAGACAAAUAGCGCACAUAUAUACAAAAAUAAAUGAUGACCUGGAUGGAGGAUUCCUUGAUGAUGGAUGCCGCUUUCUUGUGGCAGUGCUCAUUUUGGAGGUUCUCAGUGGUGGGGAGGGCUUUACCUGUGAUGAACUGGGAGGGAUCAAUUACAUUAUAUAGGCUUUUCUGUUGAUGGACGCUGGUGUUUCCAUACCAGUGAUUCAUUCAGUCACGAUACUCUCCACUGUUCACCUAUAGAAAUCGGUCGGUAUUAGAUGAUAUCCUGAAUCUGCACUAUAUUUAUGGUGUUAUAUGAUGUUUGCUCCUUAUACAGUCACCUCAUUGAGACCUGUGCUAUAUAACUUGUAGAAAUUAAUUCAUUUUUAAAGUGUAAUGUUGAACUAAAGCAUGUUCAGUUUCAUUCUAUGAAACAUACAGUGGAUCACAUAGAGACAUACAGGGGGUGAUACUGAUCUUGGCCAGCAGCACGAAUCAGCAUGUUCUAUUUUGCAUUCAUCUAAUUAUUUUUAAAUGCUGGACAGAUACACACAGUUUCCCACUGUGCACUAACUGUGAUGGAGGGGCUACCAGCCAGCAGCACACAACGGAAGAUUAAUUCAUCAUUUAAAUGUAGUUUUCCUUAAUUGUUGUACAAGUGGACAUGAAUUCUGCAGUCCUAGAAAUAAGACAACUAGGAGAGUUUUCUUCAGACCAAGGGUGUAGCUAUGGGCACUCGCAUGGGACCCAGCUAUGCCUGCCUCUUCGUGGGUUAUGUGGAACAGUCUAUGCUCCAAAUCUAUACUGGUACUGCUCCCCAACUUUUCCUUUGCUACAUUGAUGACUACAUUGGUGCUGCUCCCUGCACCCAUGCUGAGCUCGUCGAUUUCAUCGACUUUGCCUCUAACUUUCACCCAGCCCUCAAAUUCACUUGGUCCAUCUUGGACACUUCUCUCCCCUUUCUCAAUCUCUCUGUCUCCAUCUAGGGAGACAGUCUGUCCACUGACAUCUUCGAUAAACCCACUGACUCUCAUAAUUACCUUGAUUAUACCUCUUCCCACCCUGCCAAAUGCAAAAAUUCUGUUCCCUAUUCCCAGUUCCUCCGUCUCCGCCGCAUCUGCUCCCAGGAUGAGGCUUUCCGUUCCAGGACAUCUCAAAUGUCCUCUUUCUUUAAGAAUAGUGGUUUCCCUUCUGAGGUUAUCAAUGAUGUCCUCACCCGCAUCUCCUCCAUUUCCCGCACUUCGGCCCUCACCCCAUCCUCCCGUCACCACAACAGGGACCGUGUCCCCCUUGUCCUCACCCACCACCCCACCAGCCUCCGGAUCCAGCAUAUUAUCCUCUGCAACUUCCGCCACCUUCAACAGGUCCCCACCACUAAGCACCUUUCCCUCUCUACCCCUCUCUGCUUUUCACAGGGAUCGUUCCCUCCGUGACUGCCUGGUCCACGUGUUCCCCCCCCCCCCCACAGAUCUCCCACCUGGUACUUACCCCUGCAAGCGUAAGUGCUACACCUGUCCCUACACCUCCUCUCUUACCACCAUUCAGGGCCCAAAACAGUCCUUCCAGGUGAGGCAACACUUCACUUGUGAGUCUGUUGGGGUCAUCUAUUGCAUCCAGUGCUCCCAAUGCGGGCUCCUCUACAUCGGCGAGACCCAACACAGAUUGGGGGACCGCUUUGUCGAGCACCUCCGUUCUGUCCGUCACAACAGACAGGAUCUGCCGGUUGCCACCCACUUCAACUCUGCUUCACAUUCCCAUUCGAAUAUUUCCAUACAUAGCCUUCUCUGCUACCAUGAUGAGGCCAAACUCAGGUUGGAGAAGCAACACCUCAUAUACUGUCUGGGUAGUCUCCAGCCCUUUGGUAUGAACAUCAAAUUCUCCAACUUCCGGUAAUUCCCUCCCUCUCCCUUCCCCCAUCCCACUUUCACUCUGCCUUCUCUUCCAGCUGCCUAUCACCUCUCUCAUGAUUCUGCCUUCUUCUACUACCCAUAGUGCUUUCCCCUUAGAUUCCUUCUUCACCUUUCCUGCCUAUCCCCUCCCUGCUUCCCCUCCCCCACCUCUUGACCUUUCCUCUGAUUGGUUUUUUCACCUGGCACCUUCCCCCACUUCCCCCAACUUCUUUAUAGGGCCCCUGCCCCCUCCUUCUUCAGUCCUGACGAAGGGUCUCAGCCCGAAAUGUUGACUGCUCAUUUCCACAGAUGCUGCCUGCUGAGUUCCUCCAGCUUGUUUGUACAUGUUAACUAGGAGUGUUAAUUUUAAUUUUAUCAACUGACCACUUAAGUAGGAUUCAGAUCCAGCAUAUACAAGGAAUGUUUUACCUCAAGGAAACACUUUGGAACAUCUUACAACAUUGAAGUUACCAUACAAUUCUAAAUUACAAUAUUCACUCAGUGGCCACUUUAUUCGGUCCCUCCUGCACCAAAUAAAGUUGUCACUGUGUGUAUGUUGAUGGUCUUCUGCUGUUGUAAUCCACCCACUUCAAGAAGAACAUCACUGUUGUGCAUAUAGAAAUACUCUUCUGCACACCACUGUUGUUAUUUGAGUUACUGUCACCUUCCUGUCUGCUUGAACUAGUCUGGUCACUCUUCUCUGACCUCUCUCAUUAACAAAGCAUUUUUCCAACAGUCCUGCCACUCACUGGAUGGCUUUUGUUUUUUGAACCAUUUUCUGUAAAUUCUAGAGACUGUUGUGCAUGAAAACACCAGAAGACCAGCAGCUUCUGAGAUACUCAAACCAGCCCAUCUGGAACCAAUAAUCAUUCCAUGGUCAAAGUCACUCAGAUCACACUUCUUCCUAAUCUAAUGUUUAGUCUGAAUGACAACUGAACCUCUUGACCAUAUCUGCAUGCAUUUUUGCAUUGAGUUACUGCUACAUGAUUGGUUGAUUAGAUUUUUGCAUUAACGAGCAGUUGUACAGGUGCACCUAAUAAAGAGGUCACUGAGUGUAUGUGUUAGUAGUUUUAUUUGAAAAAUAUAAUAGCUAUUGGUUUAGGAACUAACACAGGUUAUACAUCCCCUUGAACCUAUUCUACCUUUCAAUUAAAGGAUUCCUCUUCUGUAUUUUUAUUCCACCUCUCUUCCUGAGAUCUGUGAUCAUCAGUAUCAAUGCCAGACCAAAUGGUGUUGGGAAGAUGGAGUGUGUGGCAGAACUUUGGUUGUCUACAACCUGAUGGCAUGAAUAUCGAAUUCUCCAGUUUCAGGUAAACUGCUCCCUCUUUGUCCUUUUUCUCUCUCCUCUUGAUCUAUCUAAUUUCUCCUACACCAACCCCAGGUUCCUCCAGCAUCUUGCUCAUUGCCCUAGUUCUACAGUCUCUUUUGUCUCCAUCUGGAAGAAACUGUGGGUGGUCUCGUAGAGACUAUGUAGAAAUGUAGACUACGUAAACAUUAGCAGAACUGUGGAUAGUUAGGAAGAUUGUCAGAGGAGGACAUAAAUCAGUUGGAGACUUCGGUGGAGAAAUGGCAGAUGGUCUUUAAUCUGGACAAGUGUGAGGUGGUGUAUUUUAGGAGAUCAAAUCCAAGAAGGAAGUAUGCAGUAAAAGGCAGUACCUUUAGGAGCAUUUAGGUAGGGUGCAAAUCCAUUGAUUCCUGAAAGUGAUAACACAAAUGAGUAGGAUGGUAAAGAAGGCAUACAGUAUACUUGUCUUCAUUGGUCAGGUCAUUGAGGAUAAUAGUAGGUAUGUCAUGUUGCAUAAGAUUUCACUGCCAAGGCUAAUGUAAUGGCUUCUAUGUAAUGUUCCACUGUUUGGUAAUAGUUUCUCUGCAGCAGCAAUGUCUGGGUUAUGAUUAGAGAUAACGGGACUUUGGAAUUCAGUGGCUAUCCAAUGGGAGAAAUGUUGUUCAUUCUUGUGUGUCUGGGAGCCGGGUUUCUCGUGGGUCUUUUGUCGAGGAGAGAUGAAGAGGGAAGAUGCGUGUGGAGAGAGCUGGUAGACCAACGGAUGGAGUGGACUGGGAUCUGAGGGACUGACGGUCAGCAAUGUUUGGAGGAGACCAAUGGUGGAAGAAUGACUACUGAGUGAGCUCCAACAUAAUUUUGACUUUGACUCGGGCCUUUUGUUUUGUUUUUUUUAAAUUUUCAUUACUAACCCUAUAUUCAGAUUAAGAUUCAUAAAGUUCAAUCAUUUAAUUGUCUAUGGUGUACUGUCUGAUAUUUUGCAUUGUAGGUUUGUAACUGGGGGUACAUGAGACAGCAUCCACACAAAUGCGAUUGCCCAUUUUGGUGGGGCCGAAGGCUGUUUCCCCUAGCCGAACACGAGCUGGGUAUUUGUAAUCCUUCACCAUGUCCACACUGACCUCUUGGAUGGAAACGGGUCACCGGUGCCUUAGCCCUCCUCAGGUCCACCACCAGCUCCUCAGUCUUUUGCAUGUGGAGAUUGAAGAUACAGACAGAAGGAAAUCUCUUGUUAACACAUCAGCAAUACUGGUGAAUAGGAAAGCCAACCAUGGAAGCAAUACAAUGGAGUGAUACAAUGUCUGAUGCUCAGAUAAAAAUGUUAUGCAGAUGCAUUGCAGGAGAAAGAAUGGACCAGGAGUGAUGAGGAAUUAUAAAAGUUCCUGCUGGUUAUGUUCAGAAUCAGAAUCAGGUUUAUUAUCACUGACAUGUGUCGUGAAAUUUGUUAACUUAGCAGUUCAAUGGAAUACAUAAUAAAGAAGAAAAAUAAAUAAAUAAGUAAAUCAAUUAUAGUAUAUGAAUAUUGAAUAGAUAUAAAGUUGUGCAAAAACAGAAAUAACAUAUAUUAAAAAAUGAGUUAGUGUUCAAGGGUUCAAAGUCCACUUAGGAAUCGGAUGGUAGAGGGGAAGGAGCUGUCUCUGAAUUGCUGAGUGUGUGCCUUCAGGCUUCUGUACCUCCUACCUGAUGGUAACAGUGAGAAAAGGGCAUGCCCUGGGUGCUGAAGGUCCUUAAUAAUGGAUGCUGCCUUUCUGAGACACAGCUCUUUGAAGAUCCUGGGUACUUUGUAGGCUAGUACCCAAGAUACAGCCAACUAAAUUUAUGACCCUCUGCAGCUUGUUUUAGUCCUAUGCAGUAGCUCCCCUCUCCAAUACCAAACAGUGAUGCAGCCAAUCAGAAUGCUCUUCACAGUAUAUCUAUAGAAGUCUUUGAGUGUAUUUGAUGGCAUACCAAAUCUCUUCAAACUUCUAAUGAAGUAUAGUCGCUGUCUUGCCUUCUUUAUAGCUGCAUCAAUAUAUUGGGUCCAGGUCAGGUCCUCAGAGAUUUUGACACCCAUGAUCCUGAAACUGUUCACUCUAUCCACUUCUGAUCCCUCAGUGUAGAUUGGUAUGUGUUCCUUAGUCUUACCCUUUAUGAGAAAACAAUGACAUCAUUAUGCACGUGCAGAGUAGAAAGAAGAGUUACAAUGCUCUAGAAAGAUGAACAUCAAGUACUGGGAGCUGCAUUUCCCCAUGCCCCCAAGAAGUACUGGUCAUAUGGUGAGGAAAGGUGAAUAAUAUUUGAUUAAAUCUAUGUAAAUUUGCUUAUACUUGUUUGUAAAUCUAGAAUAUUGGUAAUUUGACAUGUUUUACAUGUGGAUGCUUUAGAUUUUUGUGAGUAAGGUACUGGCGCUGGAUUGUGUGGUUGUGUGAAGGUCCUUAUUGGCUUAGUAAGUUCGUCUUUCUAGUGAUUGAACUACAGGCUUAUGUAAAAGCUUAUGUAAAAGUUUAUUUUUGUCUUAC